CCUACGGGAGGCAGCAGUGGGGAAUAUUGGGCAAUGGGCGCAAGCCUGACCCAGCAACGCCGCGUGAAGGAAGAAGGCUUUCGGGUUGUAAACUUCUUUUGUCAGGGAAGAGUAGAAGACGGUACCUGACGAAUAAGCCACGGCUAACUACGUGACAGCAGCCGCGGUAAUACGUAGGUGGCAAGCGUUGUCCGGAUUUACUGGGUGUAAAGGGCGUGUAGCCGGGUUGACAAGUCAGUUGUGAAAUCCUUCGGGUUAACCGCAGAACUGCAUUUGAAACUGUUGAUCUUGAGUACUGGAGAGGCAGACGGAAUUCCUAGUGUAGCGGUGAAAUGCGUAGAUAUUAGGAGGAACACCAGAGGCGAAGGCAGUCUGCUGGACAUCAACUGACGGUGAGGCGCGAAAGCGUGGGGAGCAAACAGGAUUAGAUACCCGAGUAGUC
rnacentral:rRNA from 1 species